AAUUUGCUGACGAGUGCCAAAUAGCACAAAACCUAGGUCCAGGGU
rnacentral:hammerhead_ribozyme from 1 species